rnacentral:lncRNA from 1 species
GAAGAAGGAGAAGAAGAAGAAGAGGAAACUUUGUUUGAGGUUUUGCAUCAACUCCCUAUAUUUGGGAAUCAAACUCAUCUAAGACAAGUGUUCUAACCUCUUCCUACAGAAUUUCUAAUCUCUGUUUUCCUUUUAAUACUUCAUAAUUCAAAAGAUUUCAGCUUAGUACCAAACCUUUCUUUCCUUUUGAUACAAAGCCAU